rnacentral:lncRNA from 1 species
AGUUCUCUUGCCUUCAGGAGCUCGUCCAAUGUAGUAUACCAAGGUCUUCUUCAUCCCAAUUUUUGCUCCCUUCUUAGUAGCAAUGUUCCUAUCUUUACCCGUAGCUUUCCAGUAGCCUCGUUCUGUUGCUCGGUUCAAUCGCUGCCCAUUUUGGUACUUCCGAUCAAUGGGACAGAAGAAGAACCAAUCAUUGUCCUUCGACUCUACCACAGACAAAUCUGUGAAAAUUUGAAACAAUUUAUACAAUUAUGUUCUUUUUUAAUCCUAUGAACUUCAACGCUACAAAGAGAAAGGUUUUUUUUUGUUGUCCGAGUUUCUGAGCUGUAACUACACAGAAAUAAAGUGUGGGUGCAGGGAAAGCUGAACCCUGAAUUCCUUUAAAGUAAAAAAUAAUACAAUAAACAUCAUCAGAGUAUACCAAAUUGAAUCACAUUGGUACAAACGAUAUUUAGUGGAACGAAAACCUUGAUUAUUUUAGCGCUAUCUAGCUUUGUUUAGCCAUUAUUUUCUUUCAAAAUGUUUACUUCAUCUUUCCAAAAAGAAUGUGUUGUUUUGGGAUCUGGCCUGUGACAGAUACGACCAAAAAAGACACAAUCAAAAGUGUGUACAUGUGUUAGGGUUGUCAAGGGAGGUAAGUGUUUCAGGGAUGAUCUAAUCACCAAAUCGAAAUUUAGCGAAGAAACUGUCUAAGCAUAUAAUAUGGAGGCACACUGAAAUGUCAAUAAUCAGCAGAAUGAAAACAAAGAAUAUUUUGUUCUCAUCUAUCUUCGUUCAUUCAACAAUAACACCUAGCACCAAAUUUUGAGUUGUCGAACAACAGAGUGCCAAGGCUAACCAGUACAAUCCUUCCUACUGUGGAAAUCAAUUUUCAGUGGAAUAUUUCCGCAAUCUUUUUCUCAUUUUUCUUUUUCUUAAUGGAAAGUACAUUUGCCUAACCAUAUGACUUACUCUAGUUGGGAAACGGGUUAUUCGCCCAAGUACUCCAAUCUUAUCCUUGAAAAUGAGAAAAAUAGGUCUUAAGAUUUAACCCCACCCCAACUGUAUCAGUAUAUAUCUAACUUAAAUAUAAAUGUGUUUCACUACCUUAUGUGCUAGCGGAUUCUGUGAAAAUAAACUCGAAAAGCCUAACGAAGCCAAAAAAUAAGAAUCAAUUAGAUAUCAAGCUUCAAGGCUAAGUAAUUUUUGACGCCAAGCAUCAGCCUUUCUAAUAAAUGAAAGCCGAGACUACUCACAGCAACGGAUUUCCCGGCAAGAUAUAACAAAAAUAUUAGGGUUCAGGGUUCAACACAACUCCAAAUUGGGGCAUAACACGCACAAAAAUUAAAUUAUUAAUUAAUUAAGAUAAGCAGGGAAACUAACCAGGCAAGUCCCAAGGUUCGAGUUUACAGAUAUCAACUUCUCGAAUAACGCUGACUUCACUAUCGGCACCGUUGAUCUUCAACCGCAAAUAAUGAUUCACUAGCUCCUCAUCCGUCGGCCGGAAACGGUAUCCUACCGGCAGAGUAUUUAAAGGCGGUAUACCCAUCUGUCUAUCCACCGGAAGUACAGCGAUCACGUUAUCUCCAGGAAGUACGGCCAUCAUUUACCGCAUCAAGUUUUUGCAAAGUUGAGAUGGGCAAAAAAGUGAAAAAAGCAAAAAGUAGAUGAACUGAUGAAUAUAUAAUUAUAAAGAGUAAAAAGUAAAAGUAAUCAAGCUAGAUCUAGAAAAAUUCUAUUGGGAAUUUUUAGAGAGGAGAUUCUGAAGUGAAGUGGCUAUGGUUAAGUUUUCACAAGAAGGAAAAAAAUCUCCAUUGGAAACAUCUCAGAAAU